rnacentral:misc_RNA from 1 species
GAUGAAGAACGGCAGCGAAAUGCGAUAAGUAGUGUGAAUUGCAGAAUUCAGUGAAUCAUCGAAUCUUUGAACGCACAUUGCGCCCCUUGGUAUUCCAUGGGGCAUGCCUGUUCGAGCGUCAUUUGUACCUUCAAGCUCUGCUUGGUGUUGGGUGUUUGUCUCGCCUCUGCGUGUAGACUCGCCUCAAAACAAUUGGCAGCCGGCGUAUUGAUUUCGGAGCGCAGUACAUCUCGCGCUUUGCACUCAUAACGACGACGUCCAAAAGUACAUUUUUACACUCUUGACCUCGGAUCAGGUAGGGAUACCCGCUGAACUUAAGCAUAUCAAUAAGCGGAGGA